rnacentral:rRNA from 1 species
GAUAGCCGGCCUAACGGCCGAGUAAUACCGCAUACGCUUUCAGUGAGGCAUUUCAUUGAAAGGAAACCUACGGGACAGAUCGUGGGUCUCGCGGUAUCNUUGCANAUUGGCGAGGUAACGGCUCACCAAGGCAACGACGGGUAGCUGGUCUGAGAGGAUGGCCAGCCACAUUGGGACUGAGAUACGGCCCAGACUCCUACGGGAGGCAGCAGUGGGGAAUCUUGCGCAAUGGCCUAACGGCUGACGCAGCGACGCCGCGUGUGGGAUGAAGCUCUUCGGAGUGUAAACCACUGUUGCCCGGGACGAACAGCUCGAUUUCUCGAGCCUGACGGUACCGGGUGAGGAAGCACCGGCUAACUCCGUGCCAGCAGCCGCGGUAAUACGGGGGGUGCGAGCGUUGUCCGGAAUCACUGGGCGUAAAGGGCGCGUAGGUGGUUUGAUAAGGGUGUGGUGAAAGUCCGGGGCUCAACCCCGGAUCUGCCGUGCCGACUGUCAAACUCGAGGGCUGUAGAGGCAGACGGAAUUCCGGGUGUAGCGGUGGAAUGCGUAGAGAUCCGGAGGAAGACCGGUGGCGAA